rnacentral:rRNA from 1 species
AGUGAACGCUGGCGGUAGGCCUAACACAUGCAAGUCGAACGGCAGCACAGUAAGAGCUUGCUCUUACGGGUGGCGAGUGGCGGACGGGUGAGGAAUACAUCGGAAUCUACUUUUUCGUGGGGGAUAACGUAGGGAAACUUACGCUAAUACCGCAUACGACCUACUGGUGAAAGCAGGGGAUCUUCGGACCUUGCGCGAUUGAAUGAGCCGAUGUCGGAUUAGCUAGUUGGCGGGGUAAAGGCCCACCAAGGCGACGAUCCGUAGCUGGUCUGAGAGGAUGAUCAGCCACACUGGAACUGAGAAACGGUCCAGACUCCUACGGGAGGCAGCAGUGGGGAAUAUUGGACAAUGGGCGCAAGCCUGAUCCAGCCAUACCGCGUGGGUGAAGAAGGCCUUAGGGUUGUAAAGCGAUUUUGUUGGGAAAGAAAAGCAGCAGGUUAAUACCCCGCUGUUAUGACGGUACCCAAAGAAUAAGCACCGGCUAACUUCGUG